rnacentral:lncRNA from 1 species
CGCCCUAUAUAACAGAGAGGAGAGAGAUGCAUCUUGUGUACGUGAGAGAGAGAUGCCUAUGUAUAACCAGAAGAUGAAACGAUAAGGAGAUUAUAAGUACAGCAAACAUAUAAUGCAAUAGGAUGACACAAACCAUACUACAUAACACUUGAAUAAUAGCUGGGCGUUAUCAGGUACGUAGUUUGUGGACCAAAAGCCACUUAUUCGAACAAACAUUAGAGAUAGAGCAUAGUACUAGAAAGACAGAAAGGAAAGCAAGAGCAAGCAAGGGCACAAAGCAUUGCAAAUUUGCCACAAUGAGUAGCUUAUUUGGAUUUUUUGAAGUCUGCAACCUCAAUCACAGGCUUGUCCAACUUCAUGAAAUUGCUGGUCCUCCUUGACACAAAGUAUUCCCCCCAUUUGUAUUCACCAUAAUGUGCAGGGUUUUUGUCUUCAUCAACCAGCUCUUCUAAUGGUUUCACAACNNN